CCAAUAGCGUAUAUUAAAGUUGUUGCAGUUAAAAAGCUCGUAGUUGAAUUUCGGGAUCAGUAGGUUGGUCAUGCCUAUGGUAUGUACUGGCUUUACUGGUUCCUCCUUCUUGAUGAUCUGUAAUGUCAUUAAUUUGGUGUUGCAGGGAGUCAGGACUGUUACUUUGAAAAAAUUAGAGUGUUUAAAGCAGGCAUACGCUUGAAUACAUUAGCAUGGAAUAAUGAAAUAGGACGUUCGAUCCUAUUUUGUUGGUUUCUAGGAUUGACGUAAUGAUUAAUAGGGAUAGUUGGGGGCAUUAGUAUUCAAUUGUCAGAGGUGAAAUUCUUGGAUUUAUUGAAGACUAACUACUGCGAAAGCAUUUGCCAAGGAUGUUUUCAUUAAUCAAGAACGAAAGUUAGGGGAUCGAAGACGAUCAGAUACCGUCGUAGUCUUAACCAUAAACUAUGCCGACUAGGGAUCGGAUGAUGUUAUUUUUAAUGACUCAUUCGGCGCCUUACG
rnacentral:rRNA from 1 species